UUGACGACCGUAAGUUUCUUUGUUUUUGGUUCCUACAGGUGGGGGCCGAUUUUGUUACUUUGGUAAUUUAGCGUUUGUGAUUUUAUUUGAGUCAUAAAGCUAGAUUACCAAAGCAAUGCGGUUGGCAUUGCGUCGUGGAGAUUGGAGUUGGAAUAAGAAGACGUUCAUU